GGGAAGGAGAUUUUGGAUUUGGUCGUUUUUGGGGGCGAAGCGGUUGCGGGAAAGGGAGGGGGAGGGUUCAUCUGGGUUGGGGGUGUGAAGGCGUCGCGGCCGGUGGUGGUUUGGGGGAGGGAAGGAGUAGGUUUGUGGUUGGCGGUGGUUGCGCGGUGGUGGGGCUGGGGUGGCUGGGGUAGUUUUAGGGUUUUUUAUUUUUUUUUUAUUUUAUUUUUAUUUUUUUAAAUUUUUUAUAAACAACUAAAAUGGUGACACCACUACUACAAAGUUGGGCUUAAGUAACACCUAUUAGUAACACUUUAAAAUUUUUAUUAUUGUUUGAUUUAUAGGUAACACUUUUGUAGCAUUAUGGUGUUAAGUAACAUUUAUUUGUAACACUUAAAUAUUAUGUAACACUUUAUGGUAACACUUUGAUAUUAGGUAGCAUUUGGGGGUAACAUUUAAAUUUUCUUAUAAUUUGUUUAUGUUUUUUAUUCGAAGAAAAACACUUAAUAUGAUAUUCUCAAUUUUUUUUUUGCAUAUUUGAAAUAAACCCAUAGUCACAACUUUCUUCGUCCCUCAAGCUUUCAGCUUUUCACCCCCUUCUUGCUCUCUCCACUGAAGCCCCCGUCCACCGUAGUCCGCAACCUAUCUCCAUCGCAACAGCCCGUACCAGCGUUUGAUACCUCUUGGCCUCCAUCUUCAACGACUUCCUCCUUUUAGUUAGGGUUACGGUUAGUUCAGACUGGGUGAUAUUACUUCAAUUUGCACCCUUCUUGCUUGGCACACCCUUGGUUAAGUGAUGAUUUCUCUUCCUCCAAUCGUCUUGAUCGUAACUCUGAGGGUAUAGCUGCUUGGAAGGCAGGAGCCACUACUUUCAAGAUGGAGGUCUUAAUCAUACUUAGGCUCUGUACUGGAACAGUAAGGAUCAGGGGGAAACUCAAGAGGAUGAAAGUGCUAGCUUCAAACACGAAAUAAAUUGUUCGUGUUGCUUCUAGUUAAGCUGUUCAAUCCCAGUUUGUGGACACGAAAAUAGUCUUAAAACACCAAAAAAAACAACACUUAGAUCAAGGGUUGCAAGGGGGAGAUUCAACGCAAAGAAAAAUCCAAUUAGGAAUGGAUUUGGAUAUGAUGUAGAUGACACAACAACAGAUUGGAACACCUGUCGACCAACAUCAAGAUAGAGUAGCAUAACAAUCUAAGAGGAAAGUCUAUAUCAGACUUCCAAACUGAGAUUAGGCAAGACUACUACAUAAAAAAAAAAUACACCAGUAUAUCAUUUCACAGUAAGGAAGGGGAGGAGGUUGAGAUUAGAAAUGGUGUCCAAACUUAGAUAGGGUAGAGUAAGGCAAUGGUGUUAUGCUGUUGUUACUGAUGUCAGUUGCUUAUACUGUUGUUUGUUGCUGCUACUACUGUCUGCUGCUGCUAUUUUCUACGACUACCAAUGUUUGCUGCUACUGCUGUCAUCUGGUAUUAAUGGCUGCUGGUACUGGUUAGCUGUUGUUUUCGCUAGCUAGCUGCGGCUAUGUGCUAUUAUUACUAUUGUUUGUUGCAUCCGCGCUGAUUGUAUGUUUGUAUAGAAAUUGGAGGUCUAAAGAGACUUAAGUUCACUUCUUUUCAUUUUGAUUAUUAGAUUGUUUAGCCAAUAAAAAAAAUUGGUGUUUAUGGAUGUUUUUUUUUGUAAGAAGUAUGAAAUAA